rnacentral:rRNA from 1 species
CCUACGGGUGGCAGCAGUGGGGAAUAUUGCGCAAUGGGCGAAAGCCUGACGCAGCGAAGCCGCGUGAGGGAUGAAGGUCUUCGGAUCGUAAACCCCUGUCAGCAGGGAAGAACGGUCACUGUGCUAAUCAGCAGUGAAUUGACGGUACCUGCAAAGGAAGCACCGGCCAACUCCGUGCCAGCAGCCGCGGUAAUACGGAGGGUGCGAGCGUUAAUCGGUAUUACUGGGCGUAAAGCGCUCGUAGGCGGUAUGUCAAGUCAAGGGUGAAAUCCCCGCGCUCAACGUGGGAACUGCCUUUGAAACUGGCAGACUUGAGUUUGUGAGAAGAUAGUGGAAUGCCAGGUGUAGGAGUGAAAUCCGUAGAUAUCUGGAGGAACAUCAGUGGCGAAGGCGACGAUCUGGCACAUGACUGACGCUGAGGAGCGAAAGCGUGGGUAGCAAACAGGAUUAGAUACCCGUGUAGUC